rnacentral:rRNA from 1 species
AGUGAACGCUGGCGGUAGGCCUAACACAUGCAAGUCGAACGGCAGCACAGUAAGAGCUUGCUCUUACGGGUGGCGAGUGGCGGACGGGUGAGGAAUACAUCGGAAUCUACUUUUUCGUGGGGGAUAACGUAGGGAAACUUACGCUAAUACCGCAUACGACCCACGGGUGAAAGCAGGGGAUCUUCGGACCUUGCGCGAUUGAAUGAGCCGAUGUCGGAUUAGCUAGUUGGCGGGGUAAAGGCCCACCAAGGCGAUGAUCCGUAGCUGGUCUGAGAGGAUGAUCAGCCACACUGGAACUGAGACACGGUCCAGACUCCUACGGGAGGCAGCAGUGGGGAAUAUUGGACAAUGGGCGCAAGCCUGAUCCAGCCAUACCGCGUGGGUGAAGAAGGCCUUCGGGUUGUAAAGCCCUUUUGUUGGGAAAGAAAAGCAGCAGGUUAAUACCCCGCUGUUCUGACGGUACCCAAAGAAUAAGCACCGGCUAACUUCGUG